AACGAACGCUGGCGGCAUGCCUAACACAUGCAAGUCGAACGAGACCUUCGGGUCUAGUGGCGCACGGGUGCGUAACGCGUGGGAACCUGCCCUUAGGUUCGGAAUAACUCCCCGAAAGGGGUGCUAAUACCGGAUAAUUUCUUCGGACCAAAGAUUUAUCGCCUUUGGAUGGGCCCGCGUUGGAUUAGCUAGUUGGUAUGGUAAAAGCCUACCAAGGCGACGAUCCAUAGCUGGUCUGAGAGGAUGAUCAGCCACACUGGGACUGAGACACGGCCCAGACUCCUACGGGAGGCAGCAGUGGGGAAUAUUGGACAAUGGGCGAAAGCCUGAUCCAGCAAUGCCGCGUGAGUGAUGAAGGCCUUAGGGUUGUAAAGCUCUUUUACCCGGGAUGAUAAUGACAGUACCGGGAGAAUAAGCUCCGGCUAACUCCGUG
rnacentral:rRNA from 1 species